rnacentral:rRNA from 1 species
AAAAACAUGUNUUUUUGAAAAUAAUAAAAAGUCUAAUCGGCCCACUGAAUUUAUUUAAAGGGCUGCAGUAUAUUGACUGUACAAAGGUAGCAUAAUCAAUAGUCUUUUAAUUGAAGACUUGUAUGAAUGAUUUGAUGAAAUAUGAACUGUCUCUUUUUUAAAAAUAAAAUUUAAUUUUUUAGUUAAAAAGCUAAAAUAAUUAUAAAAGACGAGAAGACCCUAUAGAGUUUUAUAGUUAUUUAAUUUAAAAAUUUUAUAUAUAAUUUAAAUUUAAAAUUAAUUAAUUAUUUUAUUGGGGUGAUAGAAAAAUUAAAAAAACUUUUUUUUAAAAUUUAACAUUAAUUUAUGAAAUUAUGAUCCAUAAUUUAUGAUUAAAAGAAUCAAUUACCUUAGGGAUAACAGCGUAAUUUUUUUUUUUAGUACAAAUAAGAAAAAGAGUUUGCGACCUCGAUGUUGGAUUAAGAUAAAAUUUAAAUGCAAAAGUUUAAAAUUUUUGAUCUGUUCGAUCAUUAAAAUCUUACAUGAU